rnacentral:hammerhead_ribozyme from 1 species
GAACUGCUGGAGAGUCCCACAAUUGAACGAAACGGUCGUCCAGUGC